GCUCGGGGUUUCACGGGGACGAGCGCGGUCGGGCGGGGUUGCGGGGAGUCCUGCGGGGUCCCGCGGGGAGCAGCCUCUGGAGCCAUCACGGUUGUUUCCUCACAUACCAAGAUGGCUUCUGGGUUCCACUCUUUCCCCAAACACCACGGAUAACCCCCUCUCCCCCUUUUUUUGGAGACUGACUGAUACCUGGACUCCUAGGUCCGAUUUCCCCCCGCAGUGGCGCGCUCCCUUCUCCCCACCCCUGAGGCUUCCUUAUCUCUGUUCCGAGGAGUGGGUCCCCGUCGCGGUGGGGCGGGAGGAGACGGCAGGGAGUUCCCCUCCGGCCGGAUAGUGGUAGGUGCUUCCUGCGGUGGCAUUUCUGGCGACCCCGAGCAUCGUAGAGGGUCUCGGGGUCGAAACUGCGCGGGGCUGUUGUCCGGGCGGGGAGAAGCUGGCGUGGGACUAGCUGGGGCCUGUGUCUCCUUGGCUCUCUAUUGCAGUGAGCGGCCGCGUCUCUGUUGGAACCGGCGGCGUUGCGUCUAUAAAGGCGAAAGCCUUGAGGUUGAAGGUGGGACGAGCCUAAUGAAGUGGUUAGUCAACGACCGCACCGACCCUUAAGCGUUCUUAAGACGAGAGCUGUGAGGGGAAAACUACGCAAGGAGCCCUUUUCCCUUAAUGUCCCUUCUACUUUCUUUUCACUUCAAAAUGAAUGUGGAAAUGCUAUAACGCCUGAUUUUUUAAUUCCUUGAUGUUGGGUUUUUUUCUCUCUUCUUUAUAUCUCAACUUCUAAUGCUUUCCUUCCUAUGAUCUUUCAUCUAAAAACCACUUCUUUACAGGUCUUUACGGUAAAAAAAAAAAAAAUCUUACAUAACUGAACAAAUUUUGUGGCUCAGUAUUUUGAAAAUAGCUAGUCAGUUUAUACUGUUCUCUACUCAAAACGUUACCUGAAAAUUACAGGCCCUCUCCCAUUUCUCUCCUCACCGCAUCCCCCAGCAAAGAGGGCCUCAGGGAUUUUCAUUAUUUGGGGUCGAUGAAUAUAAACAUCACCAAGAUACGUUAUCCUCAGCCUAAAUACACUAGAACGUUAAUCAGUGUUUGAGUUCUACUUCCGAAGUUACCUUACAGUGGUAAUUGGUGGAAGUGGUUUAGUGUUAAACCCUGAAAAGAAAAUCCCCAGGCAGCAUGUUCUUGCUGUUGUGUUGGUAUUCUGGUUACUAGGGGAAACGCAUAAAAGCCUUUAAGGUGUGUGCUGGUUGGAAUGAAUUUUGGCUUUUUUAGAAGUUCGUAAUAAAAGUACUUAGAAGCAGACAGUUAAAUCGGAAGGUUGAUUGAGGCUUUUAUUCUUUGUGAGGAAAGAGAUUUAAAUAGGUUAGAAACAAAACUUUUUUAAUGCCUGUAAGAUUGGAUUUUUAAAAUGAAAUCUGGGUCACAGAUACAAGUGAGUAGUCGAACUUGCUUAUUUUUUAGUGUGGCGUAUUGAUUGUCCCAACAAAACUUUUUAAAACUCUUCUAAUAAAAAUAUGUGGUGAUAAUUAUAAGCUGAUUGUUUUGAUAACAUUAGGUAGUUGUGGGAAGAAAUUUGGCUGCCCAUUAAUCUUUCCUUCCGUUGACUUUAGUACAGAAAUUCAUUUUUUGUUAAUGUUUGUUUUGAUUUGGUUUGUGGGGAAGUGAAGAGGACUACUAUUUGGGACCUUGUUGCGCCCCAAGUUCUUACUUUUUAAUUAGUCAUCAAAUUGAGGAAUGGAACAAGUUUGGGGUAAUUGACACUUUACCCACCUAAGAAGGCAGUAUAUGUAAGAUCCCCACCCAACUUUAAGCUAAAAUGUAUGUAGGCAUUAACAUUUUAUGUUAAUAGAAAACGGGUUCUUCCUCCUCCCUGCCCCUUACAGUGUUUACUGUCAUAGAAAAUAUUUUUUGACAUGUGAUACCCAAGUAUAUGUUAGUGUAAAUGAACUCAGUAGAUUGAAUAAUGCGUUCGCCCACCCUUACCUGUUACAUCUUUUUUUUCUUUUGUAGGUUGGGGUAAUUGUCUUUAUUUGUUAUUGGUUAAAGAAUUAGAAGAAUGCCAGAAGCUUUUCUGAGGGUGUACUUUUUUCUUUUUUAAAAUUGUUUCUUACAACAGUUUAACAUUCACUAGUGCUUUUGGUUUCUAAACUGUUGUGAUUUCUUAGCUGCUAGCCAGCAGUUUAAAAAAGUUUUUAAACAAUAUAGUUGUCAUGUUAUCUUUGUAUCUAAAUGUAAUGACCAUUUAGAAACACUCAAAAAAGGAUUUUCAAAUGAUGUUUUUGAGGUUUUUAAGUAGUUAUACUUCAAAUUUUGUAACUAAAAUGAAGUAGAGAAAACAUUGACGGAUCAGUUGAGAUUUCAUUUGCUUUACCUUUAGAAUAAAUAGCACCUAUAUUAACCCCAUGUUACUGAAAAGAUAUUUGGAAUUAGAGGGCAACUUUUUUAUAGCAUUUCAGAAUCUUAACCACACCACACCACACCUCCUCCCCCGAUUUUUGAUGUGUUUUCUAAUUUAUUCCUCACGAUACUUUUGUGAGGGCUAGAGUAUUCUUAGCCAUUUUAGAAAGUAAAGCAGGCCUAGAAGACCAUGCCAGGAAUCUGAGAUUUACAGGUCCCAGUCCAUUGCUCAUUGCAUACAUUAUGCUGUAUAUAUUUUGAUUUACUUUUUAAAAAGGAGCACGUGUACUUGAGCAUCUCAGACAUUAAUAGAGUUUGUGAGAAACAGUUUACAGGAGCUUAAUUUUCCACUGUAGAUUAAUGUUUCUUCCAUUGUAGAGGACUGGAAUAAAAGAACGUGGGGAAAGAAAAUAUAACUGGCUGAAUUUUGUUAUAAGUAACCCUAAUAGUUAACCCAAUCAAAAUUCCCUUCUGCCUAAGGUAAAACUGUCAAGCAUCUGCUGCCUUUUAAGUAAAGGUCAGGUGUUCUUGAGGGAAAUAGAACUUGGAUUCUAAUUUGAGGUGACUGUCAGCUCAAAUCUGGGUAAAAGUAUAUAAUCACGUUCCCUGCGAUAGAAGUAAUAAGGAAUUCAGAAAAUGAAGCUGGGUGAUUUUGUGAGGUAGGGGAAAGGGAAAGCUUUACCUAACACUG